UACGUAGGACCCGAGCGUUGUCCGGAUUUACUGGGUAUAAAGGGUGCGCAGGCGGGCUUGUGCGUCAGGGGUUAAAGACCUCGGCUUAACCGAGGGAGUGCCUUUGAUACGGCAGGUCUUGAAUGUGAGAGAGGAUGAUAGAAUUCCUGGUGUAGCGGUGGAAUGCGUAGAUAUCAGGAGGAAUACCAUUGGCGAAGGCGGUCAUCUGGCUCAUUAUUGACGCUUAGGCACGAAAGCGUGGGGAUCAAACAGGAUUAGAUACCCUGGUAGUCCACGCCCUAAACGAUGUAUGCUUGGUGUUGGGUAUUAAUAUUCAGUGCCGUAGGAAAUCUGUUAAGCAUACCACCUGGGGAGUACGAUCGCAAGGUUGAA
rnacentral:rRNA from 1 species